GCGGGUGUGUGUGUGCGUGUGUGUGUGUGUGUGUGUGUGUUUCUGCAGACUGACUGGUGCUUCUGAAUGAUCUCAUCCUAUGAUUUGAUACAUAAAGAAUCUCUCUGUUCUCCGUGCCCAGCACCAUUUCUGCUCCAGAGCCGGACACCGCCGUGUGUGCACAGUCACCGUCAUUGAAAAUACAGUACAGACGAGAAAGGCCAAACUGUGUGUUUUUGCUUCGUCCCUACGGGGAUAAAAUCUUUGACACACAGAGCCAAGGCCCGGGUGUGUGUGAGAGAGACAGACAGCGGCCGUAUGGAAAACCGACAGUAGCCGCCCCUAAAUAACGGCUUCAUUUUUUUUUCUUCAAGUUUGCAGCAAAAAAUCAAUUCCGCAAACGUAUUACGGUGGCGUAAUUACAAAUAGCUAAUUCGCCGUGACUGUUUACGGCGCUGUCAUUAGCCGAAGUAACGUGCUGGCCGUUAGCUAGGCUACGCAGGAAAAGCUACUCACCGAUACGAGUUUCUCUACCGUGAGCACAAAAGGAGCUUCCUCACGCCGACAUAUUCCUCCUUAUCGCUCACGUUCUCGACAUCAAACCACCGCCACCCUUUCACCACAAACGACAGUAGCGAGUGAGACAAGAACGUGGGAAGGACCUGCAGCAAAUGGCCAUAUGAUGGAUUCGAACCCAUGACCGCUCCAUCAGGGACUACAGCCCCAAUCCAUGGGUCGGCAACUCAACCAGUUGAGCUAUAGUGGCGGCCCCAGGGUAAAGUUUUUAAAUAACAGAUAUCACCAUUAAAUCAAAUGAGUCGUUCCUAAUUUAGGAGGAGUCAAAUGGAUUAAUUAGGGGAGAAAAGAAAGAGAACAUGUGAGGAGUGUAGCUAUGUUGUUGCAUGUUUUCUGAUUUUUAUAUAUAAAUUACAUCUUGCUUCUUCUAGUUCAGUGAUGUUAUUAUAUUAGGCUAUGCCUCAACCAUAUCUUCUAUACUUUUCUGAUGGUGGAAAAAGGAUUCAGAUCCUGUAACUUUGCAUAAAAAUACUUGGCCCAUUUUGGAUUAACACAUUUUAUAAUAUUAGCUUAUACUUAUUGAUACAUUCACAGCACAAGACAGGAAGGCACUCCAGAGGGUGAUCAAGACUUCACAGCACAUUGCUGGGGCAGCCUUCCCCUCACUGCAAGACAUUUACAAAACCAGGGUCCUACGAAGAACACACAACCUCAUCAAAGACAGCACACAUCCGCAACACUCACUCUUCACACUCCUACCAUCAGGCAA